rnacentral:ncRNA from 2 species
UAAUUCUUUCGGGGCAGGGUGAAAUUCCCAACCGGCAGUAAGUGAAGCCUGCGACCCGAGGUCAUACGAUAUGACCUUGGCUGAUCUAGUGAGAAUCUAGAGCCGACAGUAUAGUCUGGAUGGGAGAAAGAAUGA